rnacentral:lncRNA from 1 species
CUACUUCUAAAACUAGCAACAUAACAUUUCCUUUAAAAUGUCAACAAACUUUCAAGAAAUGCUGCGGUCCUGGCCUGUCUGAUCUACAGUAAGCUCCAAAGUGAGUUGAGAAGACAUACACCAAAGUUAUCUACCUAUUGGCUUGCAAGGACUUACUGGCCAAAGCAAAAUUACAGAGAUGCCAUCCCUGCAGAAGUUUUGUGUAGAGAAACAUUUCUUCAUGGACUUUGUGGAAGAGACCCUGAUUCAAGGAUUUAAAUGCAGCCUAUUGUGACAUGUGAGGUUGCUUGUGAGGUGCCUGCAGCACUCACAGAAGAGAGACAGAGAUUCGGGCAGAAGAGAGACAGGGACAGCCUCUGUAUGGGAGGAACACAGAAGCAGAGCAGCAGACGGAGGUCAGAGGGACAGAAUCUGCUGGUUUCCCAGAAUCUAUCCAGCUUAAUUGGAAAGCAAAGCCUACCCAGGAAUGAACGGAGGUGGCUGGAAAAUGUUCUCUCUGUUCUGAUUACAAGGGCUGGAAAGGCAUUGGUGAAUUGGGCUGACUGCAAAGAGAGUGUAUAUGUCGAUAGCUUCUGGGGAUGCAGCCACACCAUGAAUAUGAACUAAGUGGAAACCAGAGUGACCACGUCCUUGUCUGUCCUUGUCUGUCAUCUUGUCUGUCAUCCCCACUGGCUUCUGCUUCUGAGCUGCAGUCACAAAGUCCAUCACGGCCUGAGCCAUGAGCAGAGCACACCUGGAUGGGGAUCCUUCUUGGUGCGGCCAAAGUGUCUGAAGAUAUUUCCAAACUCAGAUUAUAUUUUCAUACUGCUAUGAUCUGAAUUUUAUCUCUCCUUAAAGUUCAUAUGCUAAAUCCAAAUGCUCAAGGAUGAUAGCAUUAGGAGGUGGGAUAUUUGGGAGGUGAUUAAACUAUAAGGAUGGAGCCUUCAGGGAUGGGAUUGGAUUUUUAUAAAAGAGGCUCCAGAGAGAUGUCUCAGCCCCUCCAUGUGAGGACACAGCAAGAAAGUGUAGAUUAUGAACCAGGAUGCAGGCUCUCAGCAGACCGAGAUCCCACCCACACCUUAAUCUUGGACUCCCAGCCUCCAGAACCAUGAGAAAUAAACUUUGUUGUUUAUAAGUCAUCUACUCUGUGGCAUUUUGUUAUAAAGCCCAAAGGGAUUAAGACACAGACAUUCAU